ensembl:lncRNA
CUGAACGAGUAAUGCUAGCGUGAUGCCAUAACUUUGAUUGUCUUGUUCAGAGCUUUACUGCUUCAACUUCUAUUUUUAUAUUUAUUUUCCUCUGGUUUUUCUCUCACAUUUUACCUGGUGACUUGACUGAGAACACAUUCUCAUUUACAGCAACAACCUGGGAGCAAUUAGGAUUCUCAAAAUGAUAGGCUACCUGCCACCAACCUACUCUAUAAAUUAUUUCUAGAUUUGAAAAUCUCUAUUGCGGAUUAGCAGGAUCCUAUCUCUCACUGGAUUUGCCAAGUCUGUCCUGUUCUGUUCAACAAGCAUCUUUUGAGAGGAAAAGGUUCCCUAACACCCUUUUCACACAGUAGACCCAAACUCAAAUUGUUCUGUAUCAGCUAUACAGGCCAGACCAGCACAGCGUAACUUGGGUCUGCUUGGCUCGGCUCAGAAAAAUGGCUGCAAAGGACAAGGCUGCUGCUUGAUGUACGAACAACUGAAUCCACAAACACAUAUUCUAAUCCCACUCCCCCAAGGCUAUGCAAAGAAGGCUGAGAAACAUAAUGGAGGAAAAGUCAAAAUAAGUUACUUUGGUUUACUUUUCCUGUUGUGUAAAUGUUUUGAUGAAAGAAACGUGAGUUUUAUAUAAUGCAAGUUUACUUUAAGUGGCAACCAAUGAAGUGUGAGAAUUUUGUUUUAUAACCAUUACUCAUAAUAUAUUCAUAUCAGUGCACAGAAUGUGUGCUAUAUGAGUCAUACAGCCGUCAGUUGUUUGAUUGAGGUAUGGUGGUGGAUAUGUGAUGCUGGG